ncrna:unclassified sequences pemK RNA
ACAAUGAUACUUCCGUCCAGCCACAGACUCACGCAAUGGGGGCGGUCACGAGAGAACCUCGUGAUGGUGGGAUUCCAAUGA